UGCGUAGACGGUUAUGUAAGUCGGGUGUGAAAGCCCCGGGCUCAACCUGGGAAUUGCAUUCGAGACUGCAUAGCUAGGGUGCGGAAGAGGGAAGCGGAAUUUCAGGUGUAGCGGUGAAAUGCGUAGAUAUCUGAAGGAACACCAGUGGCGAAAGCGGCUUCCUGGUCCAGCACCGACGUUCAGGCACGAAAGCGUGGGGAGCAAACAGGAUUAGAUACCCUGGUAGUCCACGCCAUAAACGAUGAGAACUAGACGUUGAGAGGGUAACGCCUCCCAGUGUCGCAGCUAACGCGCUAAGUUCUCCGCCUGGGGAGUACGGCCGCGAAGGUUGAA
rnacentral:rRNA from 1 species